AACAUUAUGGUGAAUAAGAAAGAUGAAAGUGGACAUCCUUGCCUUGUUUCAGCUCUUAGGAGGAAAGCAUUGUCUUUCAUUAUUGAAUAUUAGCUGUAGUUACUGUUAUAAAUGUUCUUUAUGAAUUUGAAGAGGUCCUACUCUAUUCCUAUUUGUCUGAGUGUUUUAAUCAAGAAUUGGUGUUUAUUUUGUCAUAGAUGUUUUCUGCAUUAAAAAUAUAAUCAUGUAAUUUUUCUUCUUCUUUUUUUUUCUUUAGCUUGUUUGAUUGAUUUUCAAAUAUUGAUCCAGCUUUGCAUCUCUGGAAAGAAUCUCACUUGGUCAUGUCCCGCACCGCAGACCCUUCUCUGGCUGUGAUGUGCUGUUGUGUUUGGAACAAGCUUCUGUUUAGCCUGUCAGUUACAGGACUCCAGCUUCCUGCUUGGGAAAGAGCAGCAGCCUAUUAUAAUCAUCCCCAGCAUGAUGGCACUGGCCAGAUGCGAGCGCAGAACCCACAAAGGUAUUAGCUAAAAAUUAGGCAGUGCUGCCAAUGCCAGUUUCCAGCCUUCAUUUAAAAACUACGACGACUCCAGCCAGUCAAGCGGCAGUGUCGAAGGGUUUAGCAGGAAGGUAGAGAGAUGACAGCAAGUUCCAUGUGAUUUAUUUCAGCUUUACAGCCUGCAUUCCCAGCUGAACCGGAGCACGGGAAACUUGCAUCUGUUACAUGGGCAGCCUUGUAUCUCUUGGUCCCCACUGUGCAGCAGGCUGCUGCUGUCCUCCGUGGAAGCCGGAUUUUGUGUUUGUGCGCCUGUGCGUGCACACUUUCUCUCUCUCUUUUCCUCUUUCUUCCUAGGCCUCCUCAUUCAGAAGUGUCUGGGAAGACAGGUUUGGUUGUAAGAGAAGAACUGGACAUGUCUGAGGGGUUCACAACCUUGGGGUGCGCUGUCAGAGAAAUGACAGACAAGCUAAGCCUCAGUUCUCUCUGAAUGCUGAGAGGGAGAGGAAUUCCUUGAGGCCUGAUUCAUCUUUUUUCCGGGCAGGUGUGUAAAGACAUGCACACCACACAAGAUUUCCCAGAAAACCACUCCAGAUGUGGGCAGGAUAAGGUGUUCAUUCUCUGUGUGAACACAAGUGAGUCAAUUCUAUGUCUGAAGAGAGCUCCUUGAGAAUACUUAAAAGGCAUAUGAGUUCAUGGAUUAAAAAGGUGGAAUACUCUAGAAGAAAACCUUGGAAAUACCAUUUUGGACAUCAGCCUUGGCAGGGAUUUUAUGAAUACAUGCUCAAAACAGUUAAGACAAAAACAAAAAUUGACAAGUAGAAUCUAAUUAAAGAGCCUCUGCACAGCAAAAGAAACUAUCAACAGAGUAAACAGACAACAUACAGAAUGGGAAAAAUAUUCACAAACUAUGCAUCCAACAAAGGUCUAAUAUCCAGAAUCCAUAAGGAACUUAAGCAAAAACCAAAUAACUUUAUUUAAAAGUGGUCAAAGGACCCAAGGUAAUUCAUAGAUUCAAUGCUAUCCCCAUCAAGCUACCAAUGACUUUCUUCACAGAAUUGGAAAAAACUACUUUAAAGUUCAUAUGGAACCAAAAAAGAGCCCACAUAGCCAAGACAAUCCUAAGCAAAAAGAACAAAGCUGGCGGCAUCAUGCUACCUGACUUUAAACUAUACUACAAGGCUACAGUAACCAAACAGCAUGGUAGUGGUACCAAAACAGAUAUAUAGAUCAAUGGAACAGAACAGAGGCCUCAGAAAUAACACCACACAUCUACAACCAUCAGAUUUUUGACAAACCUGACAAAAACAAUAAAUGGGGAAAGGAUUUCCUAUUUAAUAAAUGGUGCUGGGAAAACUGGCUAGCCAUAUGUAGAAAGCUGAAACUGGAUCCCUUCCUUACACCUUGCACAAAAAUUAACUUAAAAUUAACAUUAAAAAGACUUAAAUGUAAGACCUAAAGCCAUAAAAACCCUAGAAGAAAACCUAGGCAAUACCACGAAGGACAUAGGCAUGGGCAGACUUCAUGACUAAAACACCAAAAGCAAUGACAACAAAAGCCAAA
rnacentral:lncRNA from 1 species